GACGAACGCUGGCGGCGUGCUUAACACAUGCAAGUCGAACGGUGAAGCUCCAGCUUGCUGGAGUGGAUCAGUGGCGAACGGGUGAGUAACACGUGAGCAACCUGCCCCUGACUCUGGAAUAAGCGCUGGAAACGGCGUCUAAUACUGGAUACGAGAAGGGCCCGCAUGGGCACUUUCUGGAAAGUUUUUCGGUUGGGGAUGGGCUCGCGGCCUAUCAGCUUGUUGGUGAGGUAAUGGCUUACCAAGGCGACGACGGGUAGCCGGCCUGAGAGGGCGACCGGCCACACUGGGACUGAGACACGGCCCAGACUCCUACGGGAGGCAGCAGUGGGGAAUAUUGCACAAUGGGCGAAAGCCUGAUGCAGCGACGCCGCGUGAGGGAUGACGGCCUUCGGGUUGUAAACCUCUUUCAGCAGGGAAGAAGCGAAAGUGACGGUACCUGCAGAAGAAGCACCGGCUAACUACGUG
rnacentral:rRNA from 1 species